rnacentral:lncRNA from 1 species
CCACGUGGUUCAGAACCACAUGAUUAUUUAACCAAAGCUCGGGUUGACUACACUUCAACUAACUGGAACCUACUGUAACGGCCCAGACCAUAAGAAAUUGGCAGCUUCGACUUUAUAUCUCUUGGAACACUCACUCAUGGAAUCCAGCCACCAUCCUGUGAGGAAGCCUAAGCAGGCCCACAGAAAGCCCCUUGUCGAGAAGAACCAAGGACCGUGGCCAACAGCCUCCAUCCGGUUCCCAGCUGACAGCCAACACCAAGUUGCCAGCCAUGUGAGCCCUGUUGGAAGUGAAUCCCCCAGCCUCAGUCUACAGCUGACACCAGUUAGAAGCAGCAUUCCAACAAGAAGAUCCACAAGAUGAAUUUGCAAAUAGCAGUUUCCAAACUUUUGAAUUGUUCAACCUGAGCAACAGUUCCAUCUCCAUGAAUACUUCACAUAUUGUUUAUCCUGCUCUUAAAUGUUACCUGAUUCUGCUACUACAAAUCAAUCAAAGAACUGGUGAUUUGUCUUGGGGUCUUAAAUUAAUUUUGAGCAGCUCUGCAAGCUGUGUCCCGUGAGAGAGCUUGUGGGGAGGAAAAUCAAAGAAAAGCUAAAAAAAAAAAAAAAAAAGAAAAGGAGAACAAAAACAAAAGAACACCCACAGGUUUGCAAAUUGAGGUCUGAAUAAUACACCAGUCCCAUUAAAUUAUGUUGUUAAUCCCAAGACAAUUAGUCUUCCUGUGAGAAGUGUAUGUAGGAGCACAUUCUAAGUACAUAGAUGGUUGUCUGAAACUCAGAAUAGUAUCGCAUAUCAACCCAAAAUGAUCUCUCCACAGAUCAUAAAUGACAUUACUUGAAAUAUCUUAAUUUGUAUAUCAGGUUCUUCGACAUGGGAAAAUUCCCUGAAUAUUUAUGCAAAAUGAAAGCAAAGAACACUAUAAAUUGAAAUGCAAUAAAAGGAGUUUAUUUCCAAGCCACAGCUUGGAAUCAUCUCCGUUUUGAAUGUUGCUGGCAAAGAAUGUAUUCUUGAUUAGGCUUUGUUGAUAGGCAAAAUGUGGAGCACAUUUCCAGUUCUAAUAAGUCUCUGAGGCUCUAGAAAUUCAUUUCUGAGCUACAUAAAAUAGAUCAGCACAAUUUCUCCUCUUCUCUCCUACCAAGAGAAAAAGAAGCACCCAACCAGAAUAGAACUGACAGUAUACAAGAGAAUUCACAAUGUCUAGGAUGAUCUCUGAACAUAUAUACAAAGAUGAAAUGCCAUGGAGGGGAGAAAAGUUAGAAGGUCUUAAGAAAGGGUUGGCCAAUGCCAAUGGUAUAGGAGAAAAAGAUGGAAGGAAUGGGGAAGCAUAAUUGGGAGGGGAGCAGGGAGAAAUUCAUGAUGAUAUUACAUCCUGUGUUAAUAGAAUUGCUUCUAGAGGCAACUGUGCCAGAAGUUACUGCCCCCAGAAUUUGCAGAUAUCUUAUAGAAGGGAGAAUGAGAACCCCAGGGGUCAGUUCCCCAUUUUGCCACUGGCCAGCUGCAUGAUCUUAGAAAUAUUAAAUAUUCUGCAUUUGUUUUCCCAGAUAUGUAAAAACAGAAAUUGCCACAUUACCUACUCGUCCUACAGAAAUCUCUGAACUAGAAUUCUUUGAAAGUCCAUGCGACUUGUAACUUAUAUGAUACAAUUUCACAGUUAAAAUUUUUGUCAUCCCCAUUCUAAGACUCUAUCCAAGGUGUAAACCUCAUAAGCACUAAGGCCACACCUCAGCAUCUUGGUUCUGCUUCUUACCUUGCAGGCAGGCUCAAAACUGCCACAGAACCAGAGAGAAUGUCAUUAGUUUUCUUACUUUUAUGGUUAUUAUCGACCCUUAACUACAGGUCUCCCUCUUGGUGGCUUCCCUCCUCCAUGGCUCCUCAUGUCAUGGGCUACAUUUUUGUUGUCAGAUUACCUCCAAACACACGGUCCCCCAGCAAACAUUAAGUCUAAUAAAAACAUUAACCAAAAGGUAUUAAAAGUUCAGCCUGCAUUUUUACGUUUCCUCUGGAGUCUUAUUCUUGAUAAUUUACAUAACUGCUUCAGAAUACCGAACAUGCAUUUUUAAAUGUCACUGCUUGCAGGGAUUAUUUGUAUAUUGCCUUAAUUAGCCUCAACUUCAAAAUCUGGUUGAUCAGAAUCGGGG